rnacentral:rRNA from 1 species
CCUACGGGAGGCAGCAGUGAGGAAUAUUGGUCAAUGGCCGGAAGGCUGAACCAGCCAUGCCGCGUGAAGGUCAGUGCCCUAUGGGCGUUAAACUUCUUUUGUGCGGGAGCAAUAAUGGUCACGUGUGGCCAGACGAGAGUACCGUACGAAUAAGCAUCGGCUAACUCCGUGCCAGCAGCCGCGGUAAUACGGGGGAUGCAAGCGUUAUCCGGAGUUAUUGGGUUUAAAGGGUGCGUAGGCUGUGAGGUAAGUCAGCGGGGAAAUGCCCCCGCUCAACGGGGUGAAGUGCCAUUGAUACUGCCUUGCUGGAAGGCGGAUGCCGUGGGAGGAAUGUGUGGUGUAGCGGUGAAAUGCAUAGAUAUCACACAGAACACCGAUUGCGAAGGCAUCUCACGAAUCCGCGAUUGACGCUGAUGCACGAAAGCGUGGGUAUCAAACAGGAUUAGAUACCCGAGUAGUC